UUGAACGCUGGCGGCAGGCCUAACACAUGCAAGUCGCACGGUAACAGGAAGAAGCUUGCUUCUUUGCUGACGAGUGGCGGACGGGUGAGUAAUGUCUGGGAAACUGCCUGAUGGAGGGGGAUAACUACUGGAAACGGUAGCUAAUACCGCAUAACGUCGCAAGACCAAAGAGGGGGACCUUCGGGCCUCUUGCCAUCGGAUGUGCCCAGAUGGGAUUAGCUAGUAGGUGGGGUAACGGCUCACCUAGGCGACGAUCCCUAGCUGGUCUGAGAGGAUGACCAGCCACACUGGAACUGAGACACGGUCCAGACUCCUACGGGAGGCAGCAGUGGGGAAUAUUGCACAAUGGGCGCAAGCCUGAUGCAGCCAUGCCGCGUGUAUGAAGAAGGCCUUCGGGUUGUAAAGUACUUUCAGCGGGGAGGAAGGGAGUAAAGUUAAUACCUUUGCUCAUUGACGUUACCCGCAGAAGAAGCACCGGCUAACUCCGUG
rnacentral:rRNA from 1 species